rnacentral:lncRNA from 1 species
UUUAGUAUAAGUAAAUAGAAAUCAAUAAAAUUUUAACACAAUGUUUAUAACCACAAAAGGAAGCUUGGAAUUGAUUUUGGGGGUUAUGGUCCCUAAGGUUUAGGAAUUAGGGACCCAAAGGGGCCCAAAACAAGCAUUUAUCUAGUGUCAGGACAAUAACUUGUGUAUAAGUAUUUCAAUUGUUCUGAAAUUGUACCACAAUGUUUAAUACCAUAAGUAGAAGGUUGGGAUAUAUU